rnacentral:lncRNA from 1 species
AUGGAAAUAAAUUAUGAAUUAUUGAGAUAUAUAUAUAUAUAUAUAUAUAUAUAUAUAUAUCAAUAUCAUCUUUAUCUUUACCUAAUACCUUUUAUGAAUGAAAAUAAGUAUAUAUUGGUAAUGGGUCAAUUCGAAGCCUAUCAUAAGUUGACCAGAUUUGAAAUAGGCUUGACUGAGAUGAAGAGAACAGAGCUCUAUAUUAUCUGGAACUCUCUAAAAAAUCUAAAAAUAUGGAGCCUAGAAUCAAUCCCAAAUUCUCUAUAUGAAAUGCAGAUUCUUUACUAAAUAGUUAACCAUUUGACUCAAAGUGUGAUUGUUUCAGAAACUUUAUAGAG